rfam:Oryza sativa Japonica Group DNA, chromosome 8, cultivar: Nipponbare, complete sequence.
AAAAAGGCAAACAUUAGUUUUUCGUGUUCAACUUUGAUUGUCCGUCUUAUAUAAAUUUUUUUAUAAUUCGUAUUUUUAUUAUUGUUAGAUGAUAAAACAUGAUUAAUAUUUUAUGCGUAACUUGUCUUUUUAUUUUUUUCAUAAUUUUUUUAAAUAAGACGGACACGUUGGACACGGAAACCAUGGUUUGUCUUUUU